AGCGAACGCUGGCGGCAGGCCUAACACAUGCAAGUCGAACGAAGUCUUCGGACUUAGUGGCGGACGGGUGAGUAACACGUGGGAACGUACCUUUUGGUUCGGAACAACUCAGGGAAACUUGAGCUAAUACCGGAUGAGCCCUUAGGGGGAAAGAUUUAUCGCCGAAAGAGCGGCCCGCGUUAGAUUAGCUAGUUGGUGAGGUAAAGGCUCACCAAGGCUACGAUCUAUAGCUGGUCUGAGAGGAUGAUCAGCCACACUGGGACUGAGACACGGCCCAGACUCCGACGGUGGGCAGCAGUGGGGAAUCUUGCGCAAUGGGCGAAAGCCUGACGCAGCCAUGCCGCGGGAAUGAUGAAGGUCUUAGGAUUGUAAAAUUCUUUUACCAGGGACGAUAAUGACGGUACCUGGGGAAAAAGCCCCGGCUAACUUCGUGCCAGCAGCCGCCGUAAUAC
rnacentral:rRNA from 1 species